rnacentral:rRNA from 1 species
AUUGAACGCUGGCGGCAGGCCUAACACAUGCAAGUCGAGCGGGGUUUUCGGACCUAGCGGCGGACGGGUGAGUAAUGCGUAGGAAGCUACCCGAUAGAGGGGGAUACCAGUUGGAAACGACUGUUAAUACCGCAUAAUGUCUACGGACCAAAGUGUGGGACCUUCGGGCCACAUGCUAUCGGAUGCGCCUACGUGGGAUUAGCUAGGUGGUGAGGUAAUGGCUCACCAAGGCGACGAUCCCUAGCUGGUUUGAGAGGAUGAUCAGCCACACUGGAACUGAGACACGGUCCAGACUCCUACGGGAGGCAGCAGUGGGGAAUAUUGGACAAUGGGCGCAAGCCUGAUCCAGCCGUGCCGCGUGUGUGAAGAAGGCCUUCGGGUUGUAAAGCACUUUCAGUAGGGAGGAAGCGUUGUGUGCUAACAGUACGCAGCGUUGACGUUACCUACAGAAGAAGCACCGGCUAACUCUGUGCCAGCCGCCGCGGUAAUAC